CAGGUCCCGUGGGAAGAUGUCCGUUAUCUCUUUGAUGAGAUCAUGUAUGGAGGCCACAUCACAGAUGACGGGGAUUGCAAACUGUGUCGGGUGUAUUUAGAAGAAUUCAUGAAUCCAUCUCUGCUAGCUGCCCUGUCAGGAACACAUGCAUGUGGUGAAAAACCGAGACUUCCAGCCAACAGCCAUGUGAGCGAGCCAUCUUGGAAGUGGAUCCUCCAGCCCCAGUCAAGCCUUCAGAUGACUGCAGCUUUGGCCAACAUCUUGACUGCAACUUCCUGAGAGACCCUGAGCAAGAAUCACACCAUGAAGAUGUUCCUAGUUUUCUGAUUCUCAGAAACUGGCUGCCAUGUGAAGAAGGACAUGUUUGCUUCCACUUCUGCCACGAUUGUAAGUUUCCUAAGGCCUCCCCAGCCAUGUGCAACUGAAGGACAUGAAGAGAGGAAGGGCUGGUGGAGAGAAUGCAGAGUAGUCAUAAGACACGAGCCUCCUCUGAUGGUCGACUUUGCCUUGAGAACUCAGAUGACCUUGCCAGAAUCUUCUUAGAUAGCUUGGAACUCUAGAACAUUUCUACUCACCCUUCUUCCUUCUCCCAUUCACUCAAGGCCAG
rnacentral:lncRNA from 1 species